ACACAUGCAAGUCGAACGAAGGCUUCGGCCUUAGUGGCGCACGGGUGCGUAACGCGUGGGAAUCUGCCCUUGGGUUCGGAAUAACAGUUAGAAAUGACUGCUAAUACCGGAUGAUGUCGCAAGACCAAAGAUUUAUCGCCCAAGGAUGAGCCCGCGUAGGAUUAGCUAGUUGGUGAGGUAAAAGCUCACCAAGGCGACGAUCCUUAGCUGGUCUGAGAGGAUGAUCAGCCACACUGGGACUGAGACACGGCCCAGACUCCUACGGGAGGCAGCAGUGGGGAAUAUUGGACAAUGGGCGAAAGCCUGAUCCAGCAAUGCCGCGUGAGUGAUGAAGGCCUUAGGGUUGUAAAGCUCUUUUACCCGAGAUGAUAAUGACAGUAUCGGGAGAAUAAGCUCCGGCUAACUUCGUGCCAGCAGCCGCGGUAAUACGAGGGGAGCUAGCGUUAUUCGGAAUUACUGGGCGUAAAGCGCACGUAGGCGGCUUUGUAAGUUAGAGGUGAAAGCCCGGGGCUCAACUCCGGAAUUGCCUUUAAGACUGCAUCGCUUGAAUCCAGGAGAGGUGAGUGGAAUUCCGAGUGUAGAGGUGAAAUUCGUAGAUAUU
rnacentral:rRNA from 1 species